rnacentral:rRNA from 1 species
AGAGUUUGAUCCUGGCUCAGAACGAACGCUGGCGGCGUGCCUAACACAUGCAAGUCGAACGGAGUGAAGGAGCUUGCUCUUUCAUUUAGUGGCGCACGGGUGAGUAACGCGUAGAUAAUCUGCCUUGGACUCUGGGAUAACAUCUCGAAAGGGGUGCUAAUACCGGAUAAGCCCACGAUGGCGUAAGUCAUUGCGGGAAAAGGGGGCCUCUGAAUAUGCUCCUGAUUCAAGAUGAGUCUGCGUACCAUUAGCUAGUUGGUAGGGUAAGAGCCUACCAAGGCGACGAUGGUUAGCUGGUCUGAGAGGAUGAUCAGCCACACUGGAACUGAGACACGGUCCAGACUCCUACGGGAGGCAGCAGUGGGGAAUUUUGCGCAAUGGGGGAAACCCUGACGCAGCAACGCCGCGUGAGUGAUGAAGGCUUUCGGGUCGUAAAG